AGUGAACGCUGGCGGUAGGCCUAACACAUGCAAGUCGAACGGCAGCACAGGAGAGCUUGCUCUCUGGGUGGCGAGUGGCGGACGGGUGAGGAAUACAUCGGAAUCUACUUUUUCGUGGGGGAUAACGUAGGGAAACUUACGCUAAUACCGCAUACGACCUACGGGUGAAAGCAGGGGAUCUUCGGACCUUGCGCGAUUGAAUGAGCCGAUGUCGGAUUAGCUAGUUGGCGAGGUAAAGGCCCACCAAGGCGACGACCCGUAGCUGGUCUGAGAGGAUGAUCAGCCACACUGGAACUGAGACACGGUCCAGACUCCUACGGGAGGCAGCAGUGGGGAAUAUUGGACAAUGGGCGCAAGCCUGAUCCAGCCAUACCGCGUGGGUGAAGAAGGCCUUCGGGUUGUAAAGCUCUUUUGUUGGGAAAGAAAUCCAGCUGGUUAAUACCCGGUUGGGAUGACGGUACCCAAAGAAUAAGCACCGGCUAACUUCGUGCCAGCCGCCGCCGUAA
rnacentral:rRNA from 1 species